CACCGUGCCCCACCUCGACACCACUUUAAAAAGCAUCACAGAAGCAAUAGUAUGGCUACCAUCACCGAAAUCCAGGAGGGAAACAAUCACCUCAGUGGAAUGUGAAUCCCAGCAUAGCUCUCCCGCCUCCCAGCUGAAUCAGUUCUAGGCCCUGUACCGAGUCAGCUUGGGCCUUCCUGGGUUUGGCCACAGAGUAGGUUUGGGGAUUUUCCAUGGUUACCGAUCACGAGUCCUGGAAGGGGACAAGCAGGGCUGUUUCAGGACCUGUGCACUCAUUCACCAUCCACCCAUUUGUCCACCCGUCUAUGAAUCCAUUGAAUGUAGUCCGAGACCUGGCUCUGUGCCAGUUCACACCUAGAAUGAGAUCCAGCCCCUGCCUCCGGGAGCUCAGGGCCUGGUUGGGGACUCAGGCAAGGAAGCCUCUGUCACACAUGGGUCUGGGCAGGGCUUAUGGCUGACCCAUUC
rnacentral:lncRNA from 10 species